rnacentral:rRNA from 1 species
UGGGUAACACUAACUGGAGGACCGAACCGACUAAUGUUGAAAAAUUAGCGGAUGACUUGUGGCUGGGGGGGAAAGGCCAAUCAAACCGGGAGAUAGCUGGUUCUCCCCGAAAGCUAUUUAGGUAGCGCCUCGUGAAUUCAUCUCCGGGGGUAGAGCACUGUUUCGGCAAGGGGGUCAUCCCGACUUACCAACCCGAUGCAAACUGCGAAUACCGGAGAAUGUUAUCACGGGAGACACACGGCGGGUGCUAACGUCCGUCGUGAAGAGGGAAACAACCCAGACCGCCAGCUAAGGUCCCAAAGUCAUGGUUAAGUGGGAAACGAUGUGGGAAGGCCCAGACAGCCAGGAUGUUGGCUUAGAAGCAGCCAUCAUUUAAAGAAAGCGUAAUAGCUCACUGGUCGAGUCGGCCUGCGCGGAAGAUGUAACGGGGCUAAACCAUGCACCGAAGCUGCGGCAGCGACGCUGAUGCGUUGUUGGGUAGGGGAGCGUUCUGUAAGCCUGCGAAGGUGUGCUGUGAGGCAUGCUGGAGGUAUCAGAAGU